GGCAGUUAUUUGCCUGAUAUCGGAUGAAGACGGACUGCGAAUAACAAUGGCUGUGAUUUCAUAAGAGCAGCCUCCAGCUUAUUGAAAAAACUGCUGCAAAGGUUCUUUCCCACCACCUCUGCACAAGGAAAAUGCAUCAUUUUGGAAAAACACCCUGUUAACUUCGGGCUAGUUCAUCUUGCUAAAUAACCCAAGCUGGUGACUGUGGCGUGACUAUUUCACAGACCUACAAUGCCACCACCGCCACAAUGCAGGUAGCAACUCCUCUGUCUUUUCAGCGCUCCCAGGCACUUCUGCUCACCCGUCUCACAGCUUUGCUCCCAAUAAACCACAGAGGAAAGAGAAGUUAUCUAAUGCUGCCCAGAAACUACGGAGCGGGAUGCAGAGAGCUCUGUGUUUCCUUGCUACACCUCUUUUCUGCUGUCCAGGCUGAGCUCAUGCUCUCAGAAGUUCCUCUUUUGGUGGAAGUAACGUGUCCAGCACCUCUCCCAUCCUACAGUGAACUCGCUGGUCCCUUAUUUUCUGCGUAGACUAGUGUGUAUGUAGGUUACUGUGUGUGUUUGUGCAUGUGGAGAAGAUAUACCUGUUUAAAUUUGUGGGUAUGCGUGCUUGUUAGGAGUUCCAUAAUUUCUCCUGGAGUUUCCUUAUGUGUAAAAUGGAGAUGAUAACACGUAAUUACCUAUCUUGCAGGGCUGUUGUAAGGACAAAUUAACCAAUGCUUCUGUGGGUGUUUAGAGAUGAAAAGCAUGAUAUUAAGACUAAAUAUAAUGAUUGAGUGUUGUAGCAGAGAGUUUGUAUUUAUUAUGGUGAUU